AAAAGCCUCUAAGCAUCAGGUAACAUCAAAUCGUACCCAAACCGACACAGGUGGUCAGGUAGAGAAUACCAAGGCGCUUGAGAGAACUCGGGUGAAGGAACUAGGCAAAAUGGUGCCGUAACUUCGGGAGAAGGCACGCUGAUAUGUAGGUGAAGCGACUUGCUCGUGGAGCUGAAAUCAGUCGAAGAUACCAGCUGGCUGCAACUGUUUAUUAAAAACACAGCACUGUGCAAACACGAAAGUGGACGUAUACGGUGUGACGCCUGCCCGGUGCCGGAAGGUUAAUUGAUGGGGUUAGCGCAAGCGAAGCUCUUGAUCGAAGCCCCGGUAAACGGCGGCCGUAACUAUAACGGUCCUAAGGGUAGCGAAAUUCCUUGUCGGGUAAGUUCCGACCUGCACGAAUGGCGUAAUGAUGGCCAGGCUGUCUCCACCCGAGACUCAGUGAAAUUGAACUCGCUGUGAAGAUGCAGUGUACCCGCGGCAAGACGGAAAGACCCCGUGAACCUUUACUAUAGCUUGACACUGAACAUUGAGCCUUGAUGUGUAGGAUAGGUGGGAGGCUUUGAAGUGUGGACGCCAGUCUGCAUGGAGCCGACCUUGAAAUACCACCCUUUAAUGUUUGAUGUUCUAACGUUGACCCGUAAUCCGGGUUGCGGACAGUGUCUGGUGGGUAGUUUGACUGGGGCGGUCUCCUCCUAAAGAGUAACGGAGGAGCACGAAGGUUGGCUAAUCCUGGUCGGACAUCAGGAGGUUAGUGCAAUGGCAUAAGCCAGCUUGACUGCGAGCGUGACGGCGGCGAGCAGGUGCGAAAGCAGGUCAUAGUGAUCCGGUGGUUCUGAAUGGAAGGGCCAUCGCUCAACGGAUAAAGGGUACUCCGGGGAUAACAGGCUGAUACCGCCCAAGAGUUCAUAUCGACGGCGGUGUUUGGCACCUCGAUGUCGGCUCAUCACAUCCUGGGGCUGAAGUAGGUCCCAAGGGUAUGGCUGUUCGCCAUUUAAAGUGGUACGCGAGCUGGGUUUAGAACGUCGUGAGACAGUUCGGU
rnacentral:rRNA from 1 species